AACCAUUUUUUUUUCUUGUUUGAUAUUUUCGUGCCACUGCGAGCCCUUCUUCUCCGGCGAAGAGCGACGUCGGAAUUUUACAAAGAUCACUGGCCUAGAUUCCGACAAACACAAAGACCCAUCUAUCCCAAUUUGUUACGGCCAUUGGACAACAAUCCAUUUCUCUUCGAAGAAGACCCACCUUAUUGUUUUCGAAAGAAGCAUCGUGCUAAAGUGACUAUUCUUCAUCCAUUUACCAAAAACUCAGAACAAAUCAAGACGCUGAUAUCUUAAUUGCAGCUGCAGAAGUACUCAAUUUGGUCCGUGAUAGUUGGUUAAAGCCAGACACAAUUGUUGUAAUAUUUA